ACUUUAACUUUAAGGUGAUAUUUUGAACACACUUCCUGUACAUCGUUGACCUUUUUACAGAGUGGUUCCGUCGGUCGACAUCCACUAAUGGCGGAGUCGCAAUUAAAGCAGGUGUUGCACGUGUGGAGCUGCUUACCUAAAGCACUGAGUUGUUAUUAUCGCCUUCUCCGCUUGUAUGUGGACUAUGGACGCCCACCAGCCGAUGUUUGGACUCUGAGGCAAUUCCAAAGUGUUUGGAGGACAAAAACCAGCCUCUACAAGUUGUAGUGAAACGCUUGGCUGGCAUGGUGAUGCGGGUUCGUUCUUUCGUGGAUGCAGUCGGGCUUGGACACAGCGUGGAGAAAGCCUGAAAGAGAGGCUGAUCCUUCCGCACGCUGGACUACCGUGUUUGACCAGGACCACACCUGCCAGGUGGACUGUGAGCAAGGAUCACAAAGGAUGGCGAUAAAGCAGCUGCAGCCAGAUUCCUUAUUGGACCAAAUUUUAGAUGCCGGCGGGCCGGACAUGGCCCGUAUGCUGUAGUUUGGACAACCCUGCUUUAAGCGCCCUGACAGUUCCAGGGCAGGGAGCAUGUGAGCUAUGUGCAAGCAGCAGCAGCAGCAGCAGCUAUGGAUGACAUUUUCAGAUGGCCGGAUCAAGAAUUCCGAGGGUGGAAAAGACAUUUGACACGUGGAACACUUGCUACUCACCAGCAAAAAAAAAAACAUUUUGUCAAAAUUCAUCCAAAAGCCUGAUGUUUGUUUAUAAAAGUCAUAUAUUUAUCUUACAUGACUUGAUUUUUUUGUGCUGGUGCGGGAUGUUUGUUGGACUCGACAUGGUCCCGUGAAACUUAAUUAACACAGCACAAUUAUGGCGCAAUAAUUGAUUUUCACUAGAUUUAUUUUCAUUCUAAAACCAGUCUGUUGCCUGCGGGGUUUUUUGUGCCAAAAUUAGAUAAAGCAAAAGGAAU